rnacentral:lncRNA from 1 species
UUUCCACUUAAGGCAAAACUGCAGGUCUCCGAAAAACUGCUUCAUUCUUCUCCAUUUGAAAUCACAUUUUAGAGCGGAUUCUUGGUCAUGCUGUUCUGAUUCUGUCCUGCUCUUGGCGGAAAUGAGAUCGGUAGAGAUUGACCCUUGAGAUUUGGGUAAAACUGAGCUGACUGAUGAGGUCCAGCAGCCGCCUGGAAGAGAUGUGGAGGCCUCGAAGCAGGAAGGCUCUGACAAGCUUAACUUUGGAGUCCACCAGUUUUCAGAACGGAGGGGCAGGUAACCUUAUUCUAUGGGGUGAAGGUGGAGG